UAAACCAGUGAUGAGUAUUCUGGGUGUCCGAAAUCAAAGACUUUGAUUAAUCUCUGUAACUCUGAGGUUUGU